GUUCGAAUGUGACUACUUUGUUAUGAGAUUCAUUAAAGAGAUAAUUUUUUAUCCUACAAUUAUUGCUUCAAAGUUUGGUAAUAAAAAAAAAACAUAUUCUCAAGUAGAAUUCGAUGAAAUUAGAGGAGAAUGGGCUACUUUUGUGCUACAACUAAUCAUGAAUCAUGUUGAUGCAUCAUGAUCACCAUGCAUGGUAUACACUCUUGGGAGGGUGAAAUGGAGAAUAAAAAGAAAGAAGAAGGCAACAAGAUUUUGGGUUUUUAAAUGCAACUCUUAUGUCAUACGUUGUAGGACAUAAACGUUACUUUAAUUGCAACUGAGAAAUUUAGAUUUUUAGAUGGGACUUCUAUGUCAUUUUAUGGUUAGCCAGUUUUAUGCUUAUGAAAUGGAGGUAUACAUGAAUCUUGGGAUCUUUAACAUUUCUAAAUCAUGUUUUGGUAUGUAUUCACUCUUCUUUUUUAGUUUUGAUGGGUUUGAUAUGU